AGUUCAAAACCACCUAGAACUCAAGUAAAUAAAUAAAAUAAAAAUCGGCCACCACCGGUUCUUCCGGCCAACCGACAGUCAGCACAACUCUGACGGCUGGAUAGGAUUCUGUGGGCCAAUCACCAGCAAGUCCGAAAAGCAAUUAAUUCGAACAGGCCUCGGAUAUCGGACGAACCACAGAAUAAGAUGGAAGAGGCUUGUAGUUCUAUGCUCCACAUAAGGAGAUCAAAAGAUUCACUGAUACAGCGCCUGAUGUCCUUAAGGAGCAUAUAUACAUAGUAAUAUGUUUAAAUAUUAAGUACACAUAUUAUCGUGGGCGCUCCUUGGAAAGAAUUUAUGUUUACAACAGCGACAUAAAUUUAAAAGAUAAAGUAAGACCUAUACGAUGUCAAAGAGUCACGAUGCAAUCUCCUAGGCCUAAUUUUCCGGCGAAAGGAGUGGAUAUUAUACAAACGUUUGGAUUUUCAAUAGCUGAACCGCUCGAUAUAUAAAUAACAAUGAAUUAGUAAAUUAUUGUGCGACUUUGUAUUAUCUUUUAUUUGUAGAGUAAGCUUAGUUGAAAGGAAUUUAUUAUUUUGUUAGUUCAUUUUUUUGUUAAAUCCGAAGAAAGUUUAUUAAUAAAUUACUGAUAAUUCUAAACUAUUUGAAUAAAUAAAAUUAAUAACAGCAAUUAAUAAAACAUCAAACGGUAGGUUUUUCCAAUUGAAUUGUUGCUUUUUAUAGUUUUGAACUAAUGAAAUUAAGUAAAGUUAUUAGCAUUGCGAAUAACGUUUACAUGUGUUAAUUAAUUUAAAUAUUAAUUUAAAUAAUAUAAUAAAAUAUAUUAUUUGCAACCCUA